GAUGGAGAAAGUAAGGAGGAAAUUUGUGUAUUUAGAGGACACUGUAAAAAUAGUAUUAAAAUUAAGUUUGGAACUACUUAAACGUUUGAGUUGAUUUUCUGUAGAAUUAAGUCAAAGAGAUUUAAAAUGUUCAUUAGAAGAAAAAUGAUUAAGUAAGAGUGACUUACAUUUAUCAUGUUAAACCCCCUUAUGAGUU